rnacentral:rRNA from 1 species
GACGAACGCUGGCGGCGUGCUUAACACAUGCAAGUCGAGCGGAAAGGCCACUUCGGUGGUACUCGAGCGGCGAACGGGUGAGUAACACGUGAGUAAUCUGCCCCUGGCUUUGGGAUAGCCACCGGAAACGGUGAUUAAUACCGGAUACGACCACUUCUCGCAUGGGAUGGUGGUGGAAAGUUUUUUCGGCCAGGGAUGUGCUCGCGGCCUAUCAGCUUGAUGGUGAGGUAAUGGCUCACCAUGGCUUCGACGGGUAGCCGGCCUGAGAGGGUGACCGGUCACACUGGGAAUGAGACACGGGCCAGACUCCUACGGGAGGGAGCAGUGGGGAAUAUUGGACAAUGGGCGGAAGCCUGAUCCAGCAACGCCGCGUGAGGGAUGACGGCCUUCGGGUUGUAAACCUCUUUCAGCAGGGACGAAGCGCAAGUGACGGUACCUGCAGAAGAAGCACCGGCCAACUACGUGCCAGCCGCCGCGGUAA